AGUGGUUAAGCACUUGGCUGCUAACCAAAUGGUUAGUGGUUCAAACCCACUAGCCGCUC
rnacentral:tRNA from 1 species